GACGAACGCUGGCGGCAUGCCUAACACAUGCAAGUCGAGCGAGGUGAGUUCUUCGGAACGAUCCUAGCGGCGGACGGGUGAGUAACACGUGGGCAACCUGCCUCAUAGAGGGGAAUAGCCUUCCGAAAGGAAGAUUAAUACCGCAUAAGAUUGUAUCUUCGCAUGAAGAAGCAAUUAAAGGAGCAAUCCGCUAUGAGAUGGGCCCGCGGCGCAUUAGCUAGUUGGUGAGGUAACGGCUCACCAAGGCGACGAUGCGUAGCCGACCUGAGAGGGUGAUCGGCCACAUUGGGACUGAGACACGGCCCAGACUCCUACGGGUGGCAG
rnacentral:rRNA from 1 species